GCAGGUAUAGCUUAGUGGUAAAGUACACGGUUUAUACCCGUGUGGUCAAGGGUUCGAUUCCCUCCGCCUGUA
rnacentral:tRNA from 1 species